GACGAACGCUGGCGGCGUGCUUAACACAUGCAAGUCGAACGGAAAGGCCCUGCUUUUGUGGGGUGCUCGAGUGGCGAACGGGUGAGUAACACGUGAGUAACCUGCCCUUGACUUUGGGAUAACUUCAGGAAACUGGGGCUAAUACCGGAUAGGAGCUCCUGCUGCAUGGUGGGGGUUGGAAAGUUUCGGCGGUUGGGGAUGGACUCGCGGCUUAUCAGCUUGUUGGUGGGGUAGUGGCUUACCAAGGCUUUGACGGGUAGCCGGCCUGAGAGGGUGACCGGCGACAUGGGGACUGAGAGACGGCCCAGACUCGUACGGGAGGCAGCAGUGGGGAGUAUUGCAGAGUGGGCGGGAGCGUGAUGCAGCGACGCCGCGUGCGGGAUGACGGCCUUCGGGUUGUAAACCGCUUUCGCCUGUGACGAAGCGUGAGUGACGGUAAUGGGUAAAGAAGCACCGGCUAACUACGUG
rnacentral:rRNA from 1 species